rnacentral:sRNA from 1 species
UGGAUAGAUUAUUUAGGGGAGAAAUUUAUCCCGUGAAUGUCGUGGUGGCUCGGAGAUUGUUUUAGAAUUGAAUGUCUCCCAAGGAUAUUUCUUGAAAGCCUGACCCCUCAAAAUGCUUCUUGACAAUGAAGGAUCAUGUCAGAUAAGAUGGGGGAGAAGCUGCUUUCUAUAAUCUGCCUCUUGGCAACUCACCCUGGGUAGUAAUAAAUAAAAGUACCUUUAAAAUACUUUUCUAUUUAGUUGACUUAUCGAUUUUACUAAGGAAACACUUAUGUGGUAUUUACUCAGUGCCAGGCACUGUUCUGAGUGCCUUAAAAUUUUUUUUAAUUUCUCUGAGGUUGUUACUAUGCUUAGUUCCAUUUGACAGAUUAAAAAACUGAGGUCCAGAGACAUGAAUUCACCUGCCCAAGGUCACACAGCAAGCCAGUGGGAGAGCUGGAGUUUGAGCCCAGACACUGGCUCUAGCCUCCUUGUUCUUAACCACUCAGCUCUGCUGCCGUUCACACAGCCUUAUGAACUAUUUAUUAUUGGCUCCACUUAUUAAGAGGUUAACUGGCACAUCCCAUUGGCAUAUUCAAGGCUCUGAUAAGGCCUGCAAUUCCUAAUUUCAAUAACUAACUUUUUGGAGCCCCUAUCAUGAGCCAGGCAUAAAUUAACUCUUGGGUCUCACGAUUUUGUGAAGUAACCACUAGUAUUAUGGCUAUUUUACAGAUGAGGGCAUCAAGGCACAGAGGGGACAAGUAACUUGCCCAAGGUCACACAGCUAAUUUUUAAAAGAAAGAAAUCUACUUAACCCAUAGAUUCACAAUAUUGUUUGACCCUGGGACAUUUAAUAUCGAAAAGCCUUUUUAUAUCCUACAGAAUUAAGGACCGUAUUUCUUCAACCUAGCUUGGGGAUCAAGAUACUUCAAGAGGGUCGUUUGGGAAUGAUGGGAACUUUGCUAAACAGGGCAUGUGAAUGUCUUCUCUCACCGAGGUCCCCUCUGCCUUCUUGGGGUUCCAGGACCCAGAGAGGGCCCCCACCUGGAGGAGCUUAAUAGUUUGUUGUGUAGGAGGCCUUGGGGGUUGGAGAUCUCAGUAGUGGUAGGUAACAUGAGAUUAUGGAAGAAAAGGGUUUGUGAGCCUGUGGUCUGAGUGGACCUCUGCACUCCCAUCUGUCUCCAACAGCCUUCGCCGCCUGUGCCAUUACAUCCUGAACCUGCGCUACUUUGAGAUGUGCAUCCUCAUGGUCAUUGCCAUGAGCAGCAUCGCCCUGGCCGCCGAGGACCCUGUGCAGCCCAACGCACCUCGGAACAACGUGCUGCGAUAUUUUGACUACGUUUUUACAGGCGUCUUUACCUUUGAGAUGGUGAUCAAGAUGAUUGACCUGGGGCUCGUCCUGCAUCAGGGUGCCUACUUCCGUGACCUCUGGAAUAUUCUUGACUUCAUAGUGGUCAGUGGGGCCCUGGUAGCCUUUGCCUUCACGUAAGUCUCCUCGCGAGGCCUCCUCUUGCCUCUUUUCCCCCAACCCCCAGCCUGGGGCCACACAUCGGAUUACAGGACAUGUUCUCAGGGUCUAGGGAUGGGGUGUGUGGGCUCUGGGGACGUGGGAGAUAUCAGCAUGCCACCAGGAAGAGCUUCGAUUGGCUUUUUGCAUGAUGUCCAUGGAGGAAGAAGGAGAAGGGACCCCCCUCCUGCCAACCUUCUACCUCCUCACACAGCAACGGGCCUCAGCCACAUCACUGGCCCCUUGCUGUGCAGCUUCCCGUAGACUAGCCUCGCCGGAACAUCUCAUCCCCCUACUGCUCCACAAGCGCCGCCCAAACCGCUGUCUCUUUGGAAAGCCCCUAAAGAGACAAUCAGGAAAUGAAUGUGCAUGAGAAUUCUGACCCCCUCCCUAUGCCUGAAGGCCCCGUAGUUGUAGACCUGGUGACUCCCUUUGUGUGUCUUUCACUUCUCCUGGCAGUCCUAGGAUUCUCUGCCCUCUGAAAGGCCAUAUGUCAUCAUGCAGCUCCAAGAUGGCGCCCCAGUUGUAGGCAGCCAUUUCAGGAUGGCACCCAAGCACUUAGUAGUCAUCCCAAGAUGGCAUCCAAGUUCUGGGUGGCCAUUCCAAGAUGACCCCUGAGUUCUGAGCUAUCAUUCCAAGAUGGCCUCUGAAUUUGGUGUGGUCAUUCUUAGAUGGUCCCUGAGUUCCAAGGUGACCUUCAAGUUCUGGGUAGCCAUUCCAGGAUGGCCCCCAAGCUCUGGGUGGCUAUUCCAAGAUGGCCCCAAGUUCUAGGCAGCCAUUGCAAGAUGGCCCCUGAGUUCCGGGGUGGCCCCCAAGUUCUCGGCAACCAUUCCAAGGUGGCAUCCAAGUUCUGGGUGGCUAUUCCAAGAUGGCCUCUGAGUUCUGGGCUACCGUGCUAAGAUGGACCCUGGAUUCUUGGUGGCCAUUCUUACAUGGUCCCUGAGUUCCAAGGUGGCCUUCAAAUUCUGGGUAGCCAUUCCAAGAUGGUCCCCAAGUCUUGGAUGGCUAUUCCAAGAUGACCCCCAAGUUCUGGGCAGCCAUCUCAAGGUGGCACCCUAGUUCUGGGUAACCAUUCCAAAAUGGCACCCAAGUUCUAGGGCAACCAUUUCAAAAUGGCCCCCAAGUUCUGGGUGACUAUUUCAAGAUGGUACCCAACAGGUGAGUGGCCAUUAGCCCUUAGGGCCCUGAUAGCAGACUUAGCAGUACAUUCCUGAAGUUGUAGACAUUUAGAGCAGGAUGAAAAAUAUCUAAUCAGUCUUUAAUCAAGAAACAAAUCUUAGGGACCCUGGCUGUGCCCAUCAUGGUGAAUCAUUCCCUUACAGGUUUUGAAAGGAUCUUGACAAAUUCACUCCCAUAGUGAGAAAAUCAGGGGCUUCCUCCUGUGCCUCUGCCUCUAGGCUCCCUCCUCAGCCAAUCUGGAGGGGCCCUUGAAUGGUUUCCUCACCAAACAAUGAGGACUUGGUUGUCAGGAGGGCCAAAAUAGUGGCCCAUUUCCAGUUGAAGGGCUAUAAAGUAAGCCACACUUAGAUUCUUCUCUGGGAACACAAUGAGAUCAAGUCGUGUUAGAACAAAAAAUCUCCAGAGUUUCUGGAUGCCUCAGAGCUGGAGAUGUGUCAUGAAGGCUGGGAGGCCGAUUAUACUUCUUUCUCUUUCUCUUUCACUCCUUCCUCCUCUUUCUCUCCUCUCUUUUUGUUCGUUUACUCUUUUCUUUUUCUCUCUCCUCCUCUCCCUCCCCACGUCCUUCCCUCUCCUCAAAGCUUUUCAGUGUCUAUUUGACUACUAGAGCAAUGCACGGUGGCUUACACCUGCAAUCCCAGCACUUUGGGAGGCUGAGAUAGGCAGAUUGCUUGAGCCAAGGAGGCCAAGACCAGCCUGGGUAACAUAGGGAGACCC